rnacentral:rRNA from 1 species
UGGGGAAUAUUGCACAAUGGAGGGAACUCUGAUGCAGCAACGCCACGUGCGGGAUUACGGCCUUCGGGUUGUAAACCGCUUUCAGCCAUGACGAAGCUUUUGUGACGGUAGUGGUAGAAGAAGCACCGGCUAACUACGUGCCAGCAGCCGCGGUGAUACGUAGGGUGCGAGCGUUGUCCGGAAUUAUUGGGCGUAAAGAGCUUGUAGGCGGUUUGUCGCGUCGAUAGUGUAAACACGCAGCUUAACUGUGUGCCUGCUGUCGAUACGGGCUGACAAGAGGAGGGUAGGGGAGAAUGGAAUUCCCGGUGGAGCGGUGGAAGGCGCAGAUAUCGGGAGGAACACCAGUGGCGAAGGCGGUUCUCUGGACCUUUCCUGACGAUGAGAAGCGAAAGCGUGGGUAGCAAACAGG